GCGCGAUACAGGGUGACAGCCCCGUACACAAAAGCGCAUGUGCUGUGAGCUCGAUGAGUAGGGCGGGACACGUGGUAUCCUGUCUGAAUAUGGGGGGACCAUCCUCCAAGGCUAAAUACUCCUGACUGACCGAUAGUGAACCAGUACCGUGAGGGAAAGGCGAAAAGAACCCCGGCGAGGGGAGUGAAAAAGAACCUGAAACCGUGUACGUACAAGCAGUGGGAGCACCCUUCGGGGUGUGACUGCGUACCUUUUGUAUAAUGGGUCAGCGACUUAUAUUCUGUAGCAAGGUUAACCGUAUAGGGGAGCCGGAGGGAAACCGAGUCUUAAYYGGGCGUUAAGUUGCAGGGUAUAGACCCGAAACCCGGUGAUCUAGCCAUGGGCAGGUUGAAGGUUGGGUAACACUAACUGGAGGACCGAACCGACUAAUGUUGAAAAAUUAGCGGAUGACCUGUGGCUGGGGGUGAAAGGCCAAUCAAACCGGGAGAUAGCUGGUUCUCCCCGAAAGCUAUUUAGGUAGCGCCUCGUGAAUUCAUCUCCGGGGGUAGAGCACUGUUUCGG
rnacentral:rRNA from 1 species